UCCUGGUGGUCUAGGCCAGUAAAGGGGUUGUCCCACCAUUAGCACUUAUCCCCUCUCUUCAGGAGAUUGCAGGGGUCUGAUUGCAUGAUAUUGAGAAUGGGGGUCCAGUGUCCACCCCAGGAAUGGAGCAGCAGUCACAUGUAAGGACUGCCAAAUAUAGCCAAGGACAGCACUCGGCUAUCUCCACCAGGACUAUGGAUAGUGAAUGGAGCGGCAACACGCAAGUGUGACUGCUGCUUCAUUCCCAAAAAAAGACUCUGAGAUCAUAGGGGGCCAUAAUGUAGCUCUCCAUGUAAUUGUCUUUUUUUUUUUCCAGGAAUGUCUUCCUCAAGUUUAGGCCGAUUUAGGUCUUGAAAAAUGUCCUUCGAAGUCUCAAAAGGAGUUCCCCCCAUUAUGGAUCCGUUUUUGAAGAGCAGGGCAGUACUAAAAUUACAGGUGUGCAGCCUGACGAAGCGCCAAGUGGCUUGAUAUGGUCCGUGGCCAGCGUCUGAGCUCCCCCGGUACCAUCUACCGGCUCCCUGCCGUGAUGUGACAUCACAUCGUUUAGAGUCUGCCAGCAUGGACGAAGAUUGGGGGCAGCCAUUUUGCCAGAACUGUUUUCUAACAACAUUUAGUGAUAUGCUUUACAGCAAGACCCGUGGACCAUAUACGACAAUGGACAGGAGCUGUCCCAUUCAGAUGAAUUGUGACCUUUUCAGAGGUCAUUCUACAGGGAGGGGUUAAGAUGAUCUUUUCUGUGAAUGGUGGUGGAUCCAGCGUUAUCUAUA